AGACCGCUCAAGUCCUGAGUGCUGCACUGAGCAAGAGUGAAAUUUCCAAAGGGGCUCUGAAGAAAGACUUGGACAUCCUGAAGGAAAGGCUUCGUCUCCAGCAGGCUGUUGGAGCAGAAGGGAAGCGGCUGUCAGAGCGCUCCAGGAAGGGUGUGGAAUGUGUGCGGGACCAGGUUGCAGCAGCAGCAAAAGACAAGCCAGAGAAGCGUGAGCUCAGGAGAACUUUUGAGGUGGAACCUGAAGGGAGGAGUGUCCAGAGAAUCUUUAGGAAAG